CUCUGUUAGGUGAUUUACAUCAUCCUAGUCUGGGUUGAAGCCUCCAAUUCGAUUUAGAUUAAACACCUAACUUCUGUUGCUCAAAUUGGAUUGUGUGAGGUUUGGAGAAUCUGAGUUUUUGGGUUUGAAGAGGAGAGCCUGGAGCUGAGGUUUCGAUUGAGUCACCCUUGAAGAAGAAAUGGGAUUCGAAAGGUUGGUGGUGAUGGAGCACGACUAUGUUGAAUCGAGUCACAGUUUGGAAAAGAAGAAAUGGUAAGGUUCUGGGUUUUGAUUAUGCUGUUGUGAAACUAUGGUGGUUGUAAUAUGUUGUUUGAUCGAUGAAUGAGUGUGGCUAAUGUGUGAAUUAUUAGUACCAGAUAUGUGACUCGAUUAAGUUUUGGCAUUGUGAUUCACGGUUAAAAUUUUAAAGGUGGGUAAUAAGAGUAAUUUAAGUGUGAGUUGAUGGUAAUUACUAAGUCACCGGGGUUUUGGCCCUUGUAGUGUAAGGUGCGAAGUAAAUGGCUCAGUUAUGUGCAUUUUGACGAGAUUGGUAAAUAAGAAUGUACCACUCCUGACAAGUAAAUUAGUGUGGUGAAUGGUAUUAUUGAGAAUGGGU
rnacentral:lncRNA from 1 species